rnacentral:tRNA from 1 species
GCACCCGUAGCUCAGUGGAUAGAGCAGUUCCCUUCUAAGGAAAAGGUCGGCUGUUCAAAUCGGCCCGGGUGCA